rnacentral:pre_miRNA from 1 species
AAUGGAAUUAUUGGGUUAUAUGGAAACUAUGUUUAAUAUUUUGAGGAACUGCUGGACUAUUUUUCAUAAUGGUUGUAACAUUUUACAUUUCCAUCAGCAAU